rnacentral:ncRNA from 4 species
UAGGAAGACAGACGAUUACCCCGUCGUAGCGCUCCACGAGCCGAAGUAGAAAUCUACUAAGGCGAGUGGUAAGCGGAUGACUGGGGAGGAAAGUCCAGGCAGCAGGAAACAGGGUGCCCCGCGUAAGCGGGGGCGGGAGACCGCCAGUAAGAGCCACAGAGACUAUGUCGACCUUAGUACUUAAAACAUACUAAGAUACGAGUGAAAAGUCCCUAACGGGAACCCUUACCACGAGCGCAAGCGAAUGGUUUAGGGGGGCAAUCCUCCCCGCUGCAACCUCCGAAUGGCCCGUUAUACCAGUUUCCGGAAGGGCCGAAGCUUGAGGGCGUUAGACAGAUUAUCGUCGAGAUACAGAACCUGGCUUAUUAUCUUCCUAAGGC